rnacentral:rRNA from 1 species
CAAUAGCGUAUAUUAAAGUUGUUGCAGUUAAAAAGCUCGUAGUUGGAUUUGUGGUUCGUCCCGCCGGCUGGGUCAUUGACUUUUGCUGUGCUGGUCGUCCAUCCUUGGGUGGAAUCUGUGUGGCAUUAGGUUGUCGCGCAGGGGGUGCCCAUCGUUUACUGUGAAAAAAUUAGAGUGUUCAAAGCAGGCUUAUGCCGUUGAAUAUAUUAGCAUGGAAUAAUGAUAUAGGACCUUGGUACUAUUUUGUUGGUUUGCGCACUGAGGUAAUGAUUAAUAGGGACAGUUGGGGGUAUUCGUAUUCCAUUGUAAGAGGUGAAAUUCUUGGAUUUUUGGAAGACGAACUACUGCGAAAGCAUUUACCAAGGAUGUUUUCAUUAA